UACGUAGGGCGCAAGCGUUGUCCGGAAUUAUUGGGCGUAAAGAGCUCGUAGGCGGCUUGUCGCGUCGUCCGUGAAAACCUGCGGCUCAACUGCAGGCUGGCGGUCGAUACGGGCAGGCUGGAGUUCGGUAGGGGAGACUGGAAUUCCUGGUGUAGCGGUGAAAUGCGUAGAUAUCAGGAGGAACACCUGUGGCGAAAGCGGCUCACUGGACCAUAACUGACGCUGAUGCACGAAAGCUAGGGGAGCAAACAGG
rnacentral:rRNA from 1 species